rnacentral:rRNA from 1 species
GACGUAGGGGGCAAGCGUUGUCCGGAAUCAUUGGGCGUAAAGCGCUCGUAGGCGGACUUUUAAGUCGGUGAAGAAAGACCUGGGCUCAACUCAGGGAACGGCAUCGAUACUAUUGGUCUUGAGGUAAUUAGAGGAUGAUGGAAUUCCCGGUGGAGUGGUGAAAUGCGUAGAGAUCGGGAGGAACACCAGUGGCGAAGGCGGCCGGCUGGGGGUGACCUGACGCUGAGGCGCGAAAGCGUGGGGAGCAAACAGG